UACGUAGGGUCCGAGCGUUGUCCGGAAUUAUUGGGCGUAAAGAGCUCGUAGGCGGUCUGUUGCGUCGGCUGUGAAAACCCGGGGCUCAACUCCGGGCCUGCAGUCGAUACGGGCAGACUAGAGUUCGGUAGGGGAGACUGGAAUUCCUGGUGUAGCGGUGAAAUGCGCAGAUAUCAGGAAGAACACCCGUGGCGAAGGCGGCUCUCUGGGACGGUACUGACGCUGAGACGCGAAAGCGUGGGGAGCGAACAGG
rnacentral:rRNA from 1 species